ACUUCAUGUUUUGGACAUUGCAUUAGUUUUCCAUUAAAUCUUUCCCACACUUCAUACAAUGUCACCCCACUCAAUUGCUUAAAAUUGAUGAUCUCAUCCCUCAAUU
rfam:Capsicum annuum cultivar Zunla-1 chromosome 4, whole genome shotgun sequence